UUCUGAUCACCUCGGACGUUGCUUUGGUGACAACCCGGAGCAAAGCAACGAGAGGUCGGUCUGAA
ensembl:miRNA